CCUUGUCUCAUUCCGAGAUUGCGUGCUGAGGGUUUUCAACUGCGUCUCUAAAGGGAAGGCCGCACACAGAGCACUGCAUUAUCUGUCAUUUUCAUUAGAUUCAAGCUACAGCUGGGCCAAAAAGACUUAGUUCUAGCAUAUGUGCUCAAAAUGGCCAAGCUGCGAUUGUCCAAAUUCACCCUUUCAGGAUUGCAUUACUGAACAACUGGAGCCAAAGCUAGAAAUUCGAGAGAGCAAAGCGCCUGAAUUCCAGUUGGAAAAUGGCAAACACCAUAAGCUCUGAAGAUUGAAGCGUAUUACCAUGACUAACUCAAAGGGUCAGAGGAGACACUGGCUUCCACCAGCAAGCUCAACGUCUUUUGGCACAACUUAGGUGGGGAUGGAAGCUGCACAGAGCCUAGAUUUUGACACCACUUAACAAAGAAAAGCCAAUGUCUUUCAUUCCCCUCUGUGCCUUUCAGUAUACCGUGGCCAUGUGGAAUGCAAUAGGUUCUGUACCCAGGUCUUGACCUGGGCCAGCCGGUCUUGAGCCCCGUAGGACGUAGUCUGUGGCCUGCUGCAUACUUGGAUAGUCUGGGGUGUAUAAAAAGCAACUCAUCCUGAGGGAGAAAAGCAUCCAACUGUCAUAAGCUUGAGUCUCCAUGCAAGUCUCCACUAUUUUAUAAAUUCAGUUCUUUAUGUGAACAUGCGAAGAAGACAUAUUGAAAAAUUAGCCCCACAAAGAAAUAAAUACAAAAAUCCCCACUCCAGGUUGCUGGAAAUGGGAGAACCACAGGGCUGGGGAAAAUGGUCACUCCACCCAGUGGACUUCAUGUUAUUUGAAGCAGACAUUGUAGUUGUUCAAGCAGAGAAAAAGAAAGUAAAAAGGAGGUUUGUGUCUGGUCCUGGAGACACAGACUCCCUGAGUCUGUGCCGCAGCAACACCGAGCAAUGCUGUGAUCUUCCAGAAUGCCAUUAAGGGUGAGCCCUUGGCCAUGUGU
rnacentral:lncRNA from 1 species